UACGUAGGGUGCGAGCGUUAAUCGGAAUACUGGGCGUAAAGCGUGCGCAGGCGGUUCGUUGUGUCGGCGGUGAAAGCCCCGGGCUUAACCUGGGAAUGGCCGUCGAAACUGCCGGGCUUGAGUGUGGGAGAGGUGAGUGGAAUUCCUGGUGUAGCGGUGAAAUGCGUAGAUAUCAGGAGGAACACCUGUGGCGAAAGCGGCUCACUGGACCAUAACUGACGCUGAUGCACGAAAGCGUGGGGAGCAAACAGG
rnacentral:rRNA from 1 species